rnacentral:rRNA from 1 species
UACGAAGGGAGCUAGCGUUGUUCGGAAUCACUGGGCGUAAAGCGCACGUAGGCGGAUGUGUCAGUCAGGGGUGAAAUCCCGGAGCUCAACUUCGGAACUGCCUUUGAUACAGCACGUCUUGAGUCCGAUAGAGGUGGGUGGAAUUCCUAGUGUAGAGGUGAAAUUCGUAGAUAUUAGGAAGAACACCGGUGGCGAAGGCGACUUACUGGACGACUGUUGACACUGAGGUGCGAAAGCGUGGGGAGCAAACAGG